UCUUUUUCAUAGUAGGUGGUAUAACAAGUGGAUUUUGUGACUCUGGCCACAUAUUCAUACCCAAGGCAGGCUGAAGAAAGUGGCUGUAUGUUUUCAUAUAAGUUUCAUUACUGUACCAAUGAGACAUAUAGUUUAUAGGCUCCAGAUUUUUGAAAUGCAAGGCAGCCACUGCAUGAGCACAUGGUAUGCCUUUUAACAUCCAAGCUCUGCAGGUGCAAUGGUUAUAAAGACAUAUAGUUUAUAGGCUCCAGAUUUUUGAAAUGCAAGGCAGCCAUCGCAUGAGCACAUAGUAUGAUGUCCACCAAAUGCUUCACUUCAGUAGUACCCAUUCCUUGCUUCACUUCAAAACCAUCCUCACCAUU
rnacentral:lncRNA from 1 species